rnacentral:rRNA from 1 species
UGGGGAAUUUUGGACAAUGGGCGCAAGCCUGAUCCAGCAAUGCCGCGUGCAGGAAGAAGGCCUUCGGGUUGUAAACUGCUUUUGUCAGGGAAGAAAUCUUCUGGGCUAAUACCCCGGGAGGAUGACGGUACCUGAAGAAUAAGCACCGGCUAACUACGUGCCAGCAGCCGCGGUAAUACGUAGGGUGCGAGCGUUAAUCGGAAUUACUGGGCGUAAAGCGUGCGCAGGCGGUUAUGUAAGACAGAUGUGAAAUCCCCGGGCUCAACCUGGGAACUGCAUUUUGUGACUGCAUGACUGGAGUGCGGCAGAGGGGGAUGGAAUUCCGCGUNUAGCAGUGAAAUGCGUNGAUAUGCGGAGGAACACCGAUGGCGAAGGCAAUCCCCUGGGCCUGCACUGACGCUCAUGCACGAAAGCGUGGGGAGCAAACAGGAUUAGAUACCCUGGUAGUCCACGCCCUAAAGNGAUGUCAACUGGUUGUUGGAUGGCUUGCUGUUCAGUAACGAAGCUAACGCGUGAAGUUGACCGCCUGGGGAAGUACGGCCGCAAGGUUGAAGCUCAAAGGAAUUGACGGGGUCAUAGCUGUUUCCU